ensembl:snRNA U6 U6 spliceosomal RNA
GUGCUCACUUCGGCAGCACAUAUGCUAACAUUGGAAUAAUACAGAGAAAAUUAACAUGGCCCCUGUGCAAGGCUGAUGUACAAAUUCAUGAACUGUUCCUUUUUUUU